GAUGAACGCUGGCGGCGUGCCUAAUACAUGCAAGUCGAGCGAACGGACGAGAAUCUUGCUUUUCUGAUGUUAGCGGCGCACGGGUGUGUAACACGUGUAUAACCUACCUAUAAGACUGGGAUAACUUCGGAAAACCGGAUCUAAUACCGGAUAAUAUUUUGAACCGCAUGGGUCAAAAGUGAAAGACGGUCUUGCUGUCACUUAUAGAUGGAUACGCGCUGCAUUAGAUAGUUGGUAAGGUCACGGCUUACCAAGGCAACGAUGCAUAGCCGACCUGAGAGGGUGAUCGGCCACACUGGAACUGGGACACGGUCCAGACUACUACGGGAGGCAGCAGUAGGGAAUCUUACGCAAUGGGCGAAAGCAUGACGGAGCAACGCCGCGCGAGAUAUGACGGCGUUCGGAUCGUAAAACUCUGUUAUUAGGGAAGAACAUAUUUGUCAGGAACUGUGCCCAUCGUGACGGUACCUAAUCAGAAAGCAACGGCUAACUACGUG
rnacentral:rRNA from 1 species